rnacentral:rRNA from 1 species
UGGGGAAUAUUGGACAAUGGGCGCAAGCCUGAUCCAGCCAUGCCGCGUGAGUGAUGAAGGCCUUAGGGUUGUAAAGCUCUUUUAGUCGGAAAGAAAGAGUUGCAAUGAAUAAUUGUGAUUUAUGACGGUACCGACAGAAAAAGCACCGGCUAACUACGUGCCAGCAGCCGCGGUAAUACGUAGGGUGCGAGCGUUAAUCGGAAUUACUGGGCGUAAAGGGUGCGCAGGCGGUCUUGCAAGUCAGAUGUGAAAGCCCCGGGCUUAACCUGGGAAUUGCGUUUGAAACUACAAGGCUAGAGUGCAGCAGAGGGGAGUGGAAUUCCAUGUGUAGCAGUGAAAUGCGUAGAGAUGUGGAAGAACACCGAUGGCGAAGGCAGCUCCCUGGGUUGACACUGACGCUCAUGCACGAAAGCGUGGGGAGCAAACA